UACGUAGGGGGGCAAGCGUUGUCCGGAAUCAUUGGGCGUAAAGAGCGUGUAGGCGGUCCGAUAAGUCCGCUCUGAAAGCCCGGGGGCUCAACCCCGGGAGGCGGGCGGAUACUGUCGGGCUAGAGUCCGGAAGAGGCAAGUGGAAUUCCUGGUGUAGCGGUGAAAUGCGCAGAUAUCAGGAGGAACACCGAUGGCGAAGGCGGGUCUCUGGGCCGAUACUGACGCUGAGGAGCGAAAGCGUGGGGAGCGAACAGG
rnacentral:rRNA from 1 species